rnacentral:sRNA from 1 species
AGUUGAGACGCGCGAUGCGGGCGGAAAACCGCGCACACUUUUCCUCUUCCCGCUCUGAUCAGGGAAUGAUCUUUUCCCGGCGCGUGACCACGA